GUGCUUAAUUCAGCAGCACAUACACUAAAAUUGGGAAAAUAUAGAGAAGAUUAGCAUGGCCCUAUGUAAAGAUGACACAUAAAUUAGUGAAGCGUUCCAUAUUAAA
rnacentral:snRNA from 1 species